rnacentral:rRNA from 1 species
AGCGAACGCUGGCGGCAGGCUUAACACAUGCAAGUCGAGCGGGCGUAGCAAUACGUCAGCGGCAGACGGGUGAGUAACGCGUGGGAACAUACCUUUUGGUUCGGAACAACACAGGGAAACUUGUGCUAAUACCGGAUAAGCCCUUACGGGGAAAGAUUUAUCGCCGAAAGAUUGGCCCGCGUCUGAUUAGCUAGUUGGUGAGGUAACGGCUCACCAAGGCGACGAUCAGUAGCUGGUCUGAGAGGAUGAUCAGCCACAUUGGGACUGAGACACGGCCCAAACUCCUACGGGAGGCAGCAGUGGGGAAUAUUGGACAAUGGGCGAAAGCCUGAUCCAGCCAUGCCGCGUGAGUGAUGAAGGCCCUAGGGUUGUAAAGCUCUUUUGUGCGGGAAGAUAAUGACGGUACCGCAAGAAUAAGCCCCGGCUAACUUCGUGCCAGCAGCCGAGGUAAU